rnacentral:rRNA from 1 species
GGCGAACGGGUGAGUAACACGUGAGCAAUCUGCCCCUGACUCUGGGAUAGCGCUGGAACGGCGUCUAAUACCGGAUACGAGCUGCGACCGCAUGGUCAGUAGCUGGAAGAAUUUCGGUCAGGGAUGAGCUCGCGGCCUAUCAGCUUUGUUGGUGAGGUAAUGGCUCACCAAGGCGUCGACGGGUAGCCGGCCUGAGAGGGUGACCGGCCACACUGGGACUGAGACACGGCCCAGACUCCUACGGGAGGCAGCAGUGGGGAAUAUUGCACAAUGGGCGCAAGCCUGAUGCAGCAACGCCGCGUGAGGGAUGACGGCCUUCGGGUUGUAAACCUCUUUUAGCAGGGAAGAAGCGAAAGUGACGGUACCUGCAGAAAAAGCGCCGGCUAACUACGUGCCAGCAGCCGCGGUAAU